UAGACGAAUUACCUUAACAGAAUUUUUAGAAAUUUUCAAGAAUUUUCUGGAAAUUUUUCGGAGCUCGUAUGACGAGUUUAAGAGGAUGCAUAUAUAAACUUGGGAAAAGCCUAUUUGUAAUACUAAAAAUUGGGAGUUGAUUGAGGAAUAAACUUAGGUUUUGAUUGCCUAAACCGAAGUUCAAUUUAUAAAAACCUAUUACUGUCGUGCCCUAGCCGAACUCCUUUUCUUCCCCUCUCUUCAUCUCGCAUCUCUCCGCCGAACCGAGCCCUUCGUCUCCCCCAACCUGGUGGCACCGCCACGCGACGCCUCCUCUCCCGCGCGUACAAAACCAUCGGCCAAGUUUCUUCUCCUCCUUUGCAUCGUCUCGCCACUCUCCCUUCUUCCCUCUGCAUCGCUGCCCGAUUCGCCGAACAACACCGAUACUGUGAGCCACCGAACCUCUCCCUCACGCUGCGCCACCCCUACUGGAUCGCUACCGCCCGAUCGCGCUGGUAGCCACCACCGAUCCGUGCCCUAAGCACCAUCUCAUCUCAUUAACACCGGCUGCCCAAGCCUUGAUCCGGUUGUCGUCCAUUCGUUCCUGGCCGCAAUCACUCACCGGAAGCCAAGCACACGAGCUUCCUUGUUCGGCUAUGCCUAUCUUUCAGCCUGAUUCCCCCUUCACCAGAGCAGGCCACGACCAAUGCCACGGCGACCGCGAUCUGCCACCAAUCUGAUUAGUCGGAUGCUACGAGAUGUUGUCGAUCCUCUUUCUUGACCACCAUGGUAAUCCAUAGGUCGAGGUGUGUGCUUUUGCUAUCAACAACCGCUUUCUAUAGGGUCUCCGGCACAGAGAAAGUUGUCAGCACAAGCUUAGGGUAAGAUAUGUUAGUUAUUUGAUGGUGGAGAUCUUGAUUCAAUUUUAGAUAGGAUUGUAUGUGCUAAUUGUUUCACGGGUCACAAUGGCUCCGUCCAUGGUUUUUCCGGCAACAACUUCUCCUAGGACGAACCACUUUGUUCUAGCAGCAAGUUGUCUCCGGAUGUGGAUCACCGGCUGAGGCUUCAGAAUUGGAUUGAAGCCGUCAGGAGGUUCCAGUCGCUAGUUCCCACACCGUGUUGUGACGAUUUUCUAUUUUCAAUCUUUAUUUUCUUGUUAUGUAUAUACAUACUGGUGAUGCGUGUGUCUUGCACUCGUGUAUUUCAUAUCAUGAUUCGAGUAUGAUGCCCAUGUUUUCCGUUGCGGUAGUUUUUACGUUGUGGGUUGUGUUUUCCUCGUUGUAGUGGAGUAGGUUUUUAUUAAACUACGCGGUUGUGAUUGUCAACCAGAGGUUGUACUAUAUAAACUGUGUGGAUUGUUUAUUUAAUUAUUGUAUAUGUUCUGAUCGUGUUGGCCGA